rnacentral:RNase_P_RNA from 1 species
UAAUCGCGCCUGAUUUUCAGGUGAGGAAAGUCCGUGCAUUCAAGGACAGGCAGCCGGGGAAAUCCCGGACGGCGUGAGCCGGUGGAUAGGACCACAGAAAUGUAGACUGCCAAUGGUUUUAUAUAAACACAGGCGAUGGUGCAACGGUGAGUUAAGAGCUUCACCGGCGGUAUUGAGAAAUAUCGGCCAGGCAACCCCCUGCAGAAUGCAAGAUUAAAUUGAAGGUUAUAAAGGCUGUCCGCCAACUUCAGAAAAAUCGCUAGAGAUUGAAAGUAAUUUCAAUACCAGACAGAUGAUUAUUUAGAAACAGAACACGGCUUACGAGUUACUUU